GGAACCUGGCUGCUUGUCCGCUCUGGGAGGUUGCGGGUGGGAUUGGGUGGAGUGUUUGUUCAGAGGGGGCGUGGGCCAGAAGGAGGAUGAAACUGUGGGAUGGCCACCCCCGUGGCUCCUUGGAGGGGAUCACCCAGCAAAGCUCCCUUUGAUGCUGGUUGCGCGUGAGGAAGAGCAGGACCUGGAACUUGGGUUGCCUCCAAGUAAUCCCUGUCAGCCUGUCUAGGAAAGCGUUCAGAGACCGCUGUUCUCAGUGUGCUGCUGUCUCCUGGGGCCUUACCAAAGAAGGCAAAUAUUACUGUACUUCCUGACACAGAUCGAUCUGAGGAAGUGGUGAGCGCUGCAGAUAUCCCCAACACCAAGAUCAACUCCAUCAACAGGGGGCUGAGACAGAGAAGCAAGCAUGAGAAAGGCUGGGAUUGGUAUGUGUGUGAAGGUUUCCAGUGCAUACUUUAUCACCAAGCAAAAGCCCUGGAGACCCUCGGAGUAAGCCCAGAACUAAAGGAUGAAGUCUUACACAAUUUUUGGAAGCGCUACCUUCAGAAGAGCAAGCAGGCCUAUUGUAAAAACCCAGUUCGUACAAGUGGAAGGAAAGCCAAAGUGAGCCCUGGACCCUGACAUGAGACACUAAAAUUCACUUUGUGUGGCAGAAAGACAAAGGCGUUUUUUUUUUUUUUUUUUUUUUUUGUGACUGCUUGAGUUUGACUGUGGUGCUUGCCUGUAGAUUUUCAGGGAGGAGGCUCCUGGUGCAAUCCAGAAUGAUCUAGACUUUACAGUGAAUUGUGGCCAUUUAUUAAACUAGUUGUAACAUAAAAGUUAUCUUCUGUCUUAGUUAGGGUUUUACUGCUGUGAACAGACACCAUGAUCAAGGCACUUCUUAUAAAGGACAACAUUUAAUUGGGGUUGGCUUCAGGUUCAGAGGUUCAGUCCAUUAUCAUCAAGGCAGGAACAUGGCCGAAUCUAGGCAGACAUGGUGCAGGUGGAGCUGUUAGUCUACUUCAUCUGAAGACUCCUACCAGAAUACUGGCUUCCAGGCAGCUAGGAUGAGGGUCUUAUAGCCCACACCCAGACCCUCUUCUGGUCUGUCUGUGCUGGUGCCCUGAUCAGACCUUGGGUGUGAACUCUGCAGCCAGCCCCACAACACCCAGAGGUAGCUCUACUCCCAGGCACUCUAACACACCCAGGAUCAUAGGAUCAGAGGUGAGGAGGACACAACAUCUGACCCAACACCAGGAGUAACUGGGACCAGUGCUACCCAGGCGUGCAGGAACUCCACCAGACCAGUGGCUUGGGUUCCUUCUGGUCUGUCUAGGCCAGUGCCCCAAGCAGACUUUGGUCACAAACUCCACAGCCCUACAACACCCAGAGGCAGCUCCACUCUCAGGUGGUCACACCCAUCUGGAUCCCAGGACAUUGGUCACACAAGGAUCUCAGGGUUCCAGAGGUAGUUUGACUCCCAGGAGCUCUGACAUACCUAGGAUCUCAGGAUCACAGGAUCCCAGAAUCACAGGAUCACAGAGACAGCUUGACUCUGAGGAGUUCUGACACAACAAGGAUCACAGGAAGGACCGGCUCCAGUCAGACAUAACCAGGGCAGGUAGCACUAGAGAUAACCAGAUGGCUGGAGGCAAGCAAAAGAACAGAAGCAACAGAAAGCAAGGUUACUUGGCAUCAUCAGAACCCAAUUCUCCCACCAUAGCAAGACCUGGAUACCCCAACGAACCAGAAAAGCAAGAUUCAGAUCUAAAAUCACUUCUCAUGAUGAUGAUAGAGGACUUUAAGAAGGACAUAAAUAACUCCCUUAAAGAAAUACAGGAGAACACAGGUAAACAGCUAGAAGCCCUUAAAGAGGAAACACAAAAAUCCCUUAAAGAAUUACAGGAAAACACAAUCAAAGGAAAAGGAAAAAAACAAAACUCUCCAGGAUCUAAAAAUGGAACUAGAAACAACAAAGAAACCACAAAGGGAGACAACCCUGGAUCAGAUCAGCAGUCAUAGAUGCAAGCAUCACCAACAGAAUACAAGAUAGAAGAGAGAAUCUCAGGGGCAGAAGAUACCAUAGAAAACAUUGAUACAACAGUAAAAGAAAACACAAAAAGCAAAAAGCUCCUAACCCAAAAUAUCCAGGAAAUCCAGGACACAAUGAGAAGACCAAACCUAAGGAAAAUAGGUAUAGAAGAGAGAGAAGAUUCCCAACUUAAAGGGCCAGUAAAUAUCUCCAACAAAAUUAUACUUCUAUAAAACUUCCCUAAUCUAAAGAAUGAGAUGCCCAUGAACAUACAAGAAGCCUACAGAACUCGAAAUAGACUGGACCAGAAAAGAAAUUCCUCCUGUCACAUAAUAAUCAAAACACCAAAUGCACUAAACAAAGAAAGAAUUUUAAAAGCAUUAAGGGAAAAAGGUCAAGUAACAUAUAAAGGCAGACCUAUCAGAAUUACACCAGACUUCUUACCAGAGACUAUGAAAGCUCGAAGAUCCUGGACAGAUGUCAUAUAGACCCUAAGAGAACACAAAUGCCAAUUCAGGCUACUAUACCCAACAAAACUCUCAAUUACCAUAGAUGGAGAAAACAAGAUAUUCCAUGACAAAACCAAAUUUACACAAUGUCUUUCCACAAAUCCAGCCCUACAAAGGAUAAUAGAUGGAAAACACCAACACAAAGAGUGAAACUACAUCCUAGAAGAAGAAAGUAAUCUUUCAACAAACCCACACAAACAUAAUUUCACCUUUAACAACAAAAAUAACGGGAAGUAACAAUCACUUUUCCUUAAUAUCUCUUAAUAUGAAAAUUAAUAUUACCAAUAUAUCCUAAUCGAUUGAAAUUGAAAAAUAUGAGCAAUUAGAAAUUUGUUGGCUGUCAUCCAGUGGUCUCUUUAAUUUGGUAAUUGGAGAAAUAGGUCUUAUAUUGUACAAUCCAUACACACUUUCUGCUUGUUUGUACAUGACAGUGUUGCUGUGUGCCACACAAUGGUCUUGAAAUCAUGCUUCUCCUAUCUCAGCCUCUCUACUAGUAGGAUUGUUUAUUUGAUGUUCUUACACUAUACUAUGGUUUUCAGAACAGCUUACUUAUUUUAAAAUGAUUUACACAGCCAAAAGAAGACAAUUAAUUUGGGAUGUGGCUUGAAAGAGAACAGCAAAGAGUGAGACUGAAUGCUCUACUUGAUAUUUAUAAUUAUUUUAUCAAUUUUGAAGAAGAGGACUUUUUUGUUUGUUUGUCUGUUUGUUUGUUUGUUUUUGAGACAGGGUUUCUCUGUAAAGCCCUGGCUGUCCUGGAACUCACUUUGUAGACCAGGCUGGCCUCGAACUCAGAAAUCCGCCUGCCUCUGCCUCCCGAGUGCUAGAAUUAAAGGUGUGCGCCACCACACCCAGCUAGAAGAGGACUUUGUAAGUUACUCUUAUUCUGAGAUGAAUGCUUUUCAAAAUCAUCACAGCCAAGGAACUAGAAUCUUACCCUCAUGUGAUGUCUGUGCCACCCUCCAAACAGAACCAUACUUCAUUGAAACAUUCGAUGAAUGACUUCAUGAAUAGACCAUCUCAAUACUCACACCAUUUCUUAAAGGCAUGUAACCUAUCCCUUGUGGGCUGAGAAUGAAGACAAUCACUCAAUUCAAGUAGCUUUGACCAUAGCAGGAAAUCUGUAUCUAAAAAUCGUGCCUACAAUUCAUUCCUUGGUGCAGCAAACUUGUCAACUCUUAGCUUAGCUACUAUGGAGGUGAAAUCCUUUGGUGAUGUAAGGUAAAUUGAAGCAUAGCCUUAUUACACUGACCUCCAAUUCCAAAAAUUGUUCUUAUUUUGGGUUUGUACCACAGUAAGAGCCAAGAUUUUAAGCUCUACUAAAAACUAACUAACUAACUAACUAACUAACUAACUAACUAACUAACUAACUAACUAACUAACAAAAAGACUUUAUUUAUGUUCAUUAAAGCAAACUAAUAGCCGGGGUGGUGGUGGUGGUGGCGCACACCUUUAAUCCCAGCACUUGGGAGGCAGAGGUAGGCAGAUUCCUGGGUUCAAGGACAGCCUGGUCUACAAAGUGAGUUCCAGGACAGCCAGGGCUAUACAGAAAAACCCUGUCUCGAAAAAAACCAAAACCAAACCAAACCAAACCAAAAAAACCAAGCUAAUAGUGUUAUAUUAUUUUGAAAUAUCAUACAGUUAAUAUAUUUGGAGUUAUUUAAAGUUUAUAUUGAGAAAAACAUGUAUUUUCAUUAUUGCUGUAGACAAGCAUCUAAAUAAGACAACUUUUAUAAUACUCAUUUUUAUUGUUAUAAUAUUUUAUAAAUUUUAAAGAAUAUGAUAAAAAAUGAAAGGUAUGGCAGGUAUUGAAGGGGGUCUCUGGGAGGAGUUGGGGUUCAAAAGGGAAAGAAGAAUGUGAUGUAAGACUAUUUACUCAAAAUAUGUUUUUAAAUGUUAACAAAUUCAGUUAAAUUGAAAUUAUUUAUCUUUUCUCAUCAUAAUGCAAUAAAACUUAAAUAUAUAUAUGUAUACUUAUAUGUAUAUGUCUGAAGUAACAAAAUAAGAAUUAUAAAUGCUAAUUACACACUAAUAUUGGAUCAAGCUCUUAAUAUUUAUGAUAUUUCUGAAAUUAUAGAAUUGCAACUAAAGUCAAUUUUAAUACCUGAAAAUCAGGUUUAUUUUUAUUUUUAUUUUUUAUCUAUGCACUAUGAUGACAAAGGAUAAAACUCCAAUUUGAUCUGACAACUUCUCUCCUACUCUAUCUCUUAUUUUGGCAAAAAUUUGUAAUUUCUGAUUCAUAUCUUUUCCCUACUUAUAAGUGCUCUUUUUGCCUUAUCUUUUUUUUUUUUUCUUUUUUUCGAGACAGGGUUUCUCUGUAUAGCCCUGGUUGUCCUGGAACUCACUCUGUAGACCAGGCUGGCCUCGAACUCAGAAAUCCACCUCCUGAGUGCUGGGAUUAAAGGCGUGCGACACUACACCCGGCUAUUUUUUGUCUUAUCAAUGUCAUAGAAAUACACACCAAUAAGUUAUUCCUGUUUGGUAUUUGGAAUUACAAAAAUUGAAAUCUACAGGAUGUUGGUUACUGUAUUCUCUAGUAUGUAGUCAGAUAUAAUUGACAGCAAUAGAGUAUUGACAAUAUACAGACAGGCAGAACAUAUAUGAAUAUUUGAUGCUGAAGGCAGAGGGACAAAAAACAAGGUUGUGAGGGGACAAACAUGUUUUGCACUCCAGUUAAAUGUUACCACCUUAGACACACUUACUCUUCCUGUUAUUAAAUUCAGUACCUUAGGAGUCAUCUUAUAGCUUUAUUGCUUUGCCAAGAAUCGGUGAAGCUUAGUUUCUGUCAUUUACAACACGAGCUCUGCUUAUGCUGAUCAUUGUUAGUAGACUUCUUAUUGUCGUCGUGCUUACUACCACUGUGUACUACGUGCAACUUUAAGUGUGGUUCCUAUGGAGCAUGUGAAUGUUCCUUUGCUCCUUAGAAUUCAGUUCAGUUCAGACAGUGAAUAUCCAGUGACUUUUAUUAGGAAAUUCCCAUCAGUUAGAGAGAGAAGAAAGGUGGGAAUGGACCUGAAGGAGAACAUUAACCUGAACCAAAUAGUAUGCUACCAGCAGAGGCAAAUGCAAGGUGCUCGAAUGGCUGUUGUCUGGGGGCUUUGGAAAGUUUUAAGGUUUAAGUAAUCAGGAGCUUAUGAGCAGCUGGCAAGCAAGGAAAGCCCAAUGUCAAAGGUAGUAAUUUUAAGAUGUUAUGCCAGAAUUCAAGAAAGUAGUUCACAUUUGAAAGUAAAUUAUGAAUAUUACAAUAAUGCACAGACGUCUAUAUGUUACAUCUGUGCUGAUGGACACACAGCAAUGCAUACUCACACACAGGACCCUGAGCUAGUUUGAGAUAGUGAAGAGUGAGUGAGUGUGUAGAAGUUUGAGCUCAGUGAAAGUUGAGGCAUGUUCCUGUAUGGCAUGCUAAAGAUCUUGGAUGGUAAUUCAAUGGUAGUGUACGACACUUUACAAAGGAGCAUAACUGUAGGGGAAAAAGACACAGAGGGAGUCAAGUGUCUCAAACAGAAAGAUGACAGUGCUUGGUUUAGUACUUGGGACACAGAGUUAAGUAUAAGUAAAAUUAAAUUAAUUUUAAAAAAGUCAGGUUAGGCAACAAUAUGAGAUUUUGCUUUCAGUACCAUACCAACAUUGAUGUCAAUCAAUAUUAUAUAUGAGAUGCCAUCAAUUAAUGGAGCAAGUGGAGUUCUUUUUUAAAAAAUAUUUACUUAUUCAUUCUUUACAUUCCAAUGGCAGCCUUCUCUUUCUCCUCUUCCCAGUCUCAGAGAAGGAGACGCCCCUCUUAGGUACCAUCCUACCCUGGGACAUCCAGGUCCAAAAGGACUAAACACAUAUUCUCCCACUGAAGCCCAACAAGGCAGUCAGUUAAAGGAAGGGGAUCCAAUGGCAGGUAACAGAAAAAAGACAACCUCUGCUCUAAUUGUUAGGGCAACCACAUGAAGACCAAGCCACAUAAAUGUUACAAAUGUGUAAGGGACUAGGUCCAGCCCAUGCAUGCUCUUUGAGAACUCCCAUGGUCCUAGGUUAGGUGACUCUGUAGAUAUUCUUGUGGUCCUUUAACUUUAUUUCUUUGAUGCUUCCUCAAGUUUUCACAAGCUCCACCUGAUGUUCAGCUGUUGGUCUCUGGAUCGGAUUCCAUCAACUUCCAGAUGAAGCCUCUCAGAAGAUAGUUAUGCUAGCUUCUUCUUUGCUAGCAUAGCAGAGUAUCAUUAAUAGUGUCAGAGUGUUGGCUCUCUUCCUAGGGAUGGAUCUCAAGUUUGGACAGUACUUGGUUGGCCAUUCCCUCAGUCUUGGCUUAAUUUUUAUCCCUGUUUAUCUUGUAUGCAGGAAAAACUUGGGUUUGAAGGUUUUGUAGGUGGAAAGAUCUCCUAUGCUCAUGAACCAGUAGGAUUAACAUAGUAAAAAUGGCCAUUUUACCAAAAGAAAGCUUAGGUUCAAUAUAAUUCUUAUUAAAAUUCCACCACAAUUCUUUACAGACCUUGAAAGAGAAAUUCUUUACUUCAUAUGGAAAAAAAUAAAAAUGCAGGAUAGCUAAUGCAAUACUGAACAAGAAAAGCACUUUUGGAGGACCAUCUAUGAUUUCAAGCUAUACUAUAGAACAAUGGUAAUAAAAAACACAUGUUAUUGGCACAAGAAAGACAGUUUGAUCAAUGGAAUAUAAUUGAAGACCCAGAAAUAAACCCACACACCUAUGGACACUUUGUAUUUGACAAGGAAGCCCAAACCAUACAAUACAAAAGUGAAAGUAACUUCAACAAAUGCUGCUGGUGGAUAGCUGCAUUUAGAAGAAUGCAAAUAAGCCCACAUCUAUCAUUCUGCCCAACAGUAUGGUAAAAAUGAUCAGAAAACGAGAUACACUGAAUCUAACAGAAGAGAAAUUGGAGAACUGUCUUGAACAUAUUCUCACCGGAGACAAAUUCUUGAACAGAACAUUCUGAAACUAAGAUCAAAAAUUAAAAUGUUGGGCCUCAUGAAACUGAAAAGCUUCUGAAAGGUUAAAUACACCAUCGAUAGGACAAAACAGCAGCCUAUAGUUUGAGAAAAGAUCUUCAGCAACCCUACAUCUGACAACAGACAAUAUCUAAAUUAUAUAGAGAACUCAAGAAAUUAGACACCAACAAACUAAAAGCACAGUUUAAAAAUGGGAUGCAGAGCUAAACAGAGAAAUCUCCACAGAGGAAUCUCAAAUGGAUGAGAAACACUUAAAGAAAUGCUUAAUGUAUUUAGUCAUCAGGGAAAUAUAAAUCAAGAUGACUCUGAGAUUCCAUCUUACACCCAUCACAAUGGCUAAGGUCAAAAUCUAAAUCAACAGCACAUGCUGGCGAGGGUCUGGAGCUGGUGGAGGUGCAAACUUGUACAACCACUUUGGAAAUUAAUUUUGUGGUUUCUCAAAAAACUGGAAACAGUUCUACCCCAAGACUCAGCUAUACUACUCCUAGGCAUAUACUCAAAAGAUGCAUCACUAUAUACAACAAAGAUACUUGCUUAACGGUGCUCAUAGCAGUAAAUACCCAGAAACUGUAAACAAUCUAGAUGUCCUUCAAUUUAAGAAUAGAUAAAGAAAAUGUAGUUUAUCUACACAAUAUGAUACUAUUCAGCUAUGAAAAACAAGGGCAUCAUAACAUUUUCAGGUAAAUGGAUAGAUCUAGAAAGUAUCAUUCUGAGUGAGGUAACCCAGACCUAGAAAGACACAUAUGGUAUGUACUUACUUAUAAGUGGACAUUAGGGCUGGAGAGAUGGCUCAGCAGGUAAGAGCACUGACUGCUUUUCCGAAGGUCCUGAGUUCAAAUCCCAGCAACCACAUGGUGGCUCACAACCACCUGUAAUGAGAUCUAACGCCCUCUUCUGGUGCGUCUGAAGACAGCUACAGUGUACUUAUGUAUAAUAAAUAAAUCUUUGGGCCUGAGCAAGCGGAGUUGACCUGAGUGAGUAGGGUGACCAGAGAAGAACAGAGCAGAGGUCCUAAAAAUUCAAUUCCCAACAACCAUAUGAAGGCUCACAACCAUCUGUACAUGUAUUCAUAUACAUAAAAUAAAUAAAUAAAUCUUUAAAAAAAAAGUGGACAUUAGGUAUAAAGUGCAAGAUAACCAUGCUAUAAUCUACAGAUCUAAGGAAACUAAGAAAUAAGGAAGGCCCAAAGAGGAUGUGUGGAUGUCAUUCAAAGGAGAAAACAAAAUAGUCAUUGGAGGAGGAUAAAGUGAGGGAGCUAAGUAUGAGAGGACGUGAGGAGGUACACUGGCAUGCGGAUUGGAUGUGGGAAGAGUGGGGCGGGAGACAAUUGGGAGUGAGAAUAGAAAUUGGUGCAAGGCAUCUCUGAGCAAGUGGGUUUUUAAAUGACUAUGGAUAAAGAUAGUGUAUUCAACUGCUUUGGACAAGACAUCAAUUUUUGUGAAGGUUUAAAUUUGCUUCUACUUCAACAGAAAUGUAAAGAAUCACAUACCACUUUGAGCAGAGAUUAACAUAAGGUUAGAGUAAAUGUUAUAAAUCACUAAUAAUCAAACAGUAGUUGGCUUAAACUUUGCAAUUUAUAUAAGAAACUUCGGAGGAGCUCAACAGUUUGGUCAUUAAUCUAGAAUUGAUGCUAUCACUGAGGCGGUCAAAACAUCUUUGUUCAUGUGAAGGGGUUACUGAAUUCAGUGUUCCCCAUAAAGACAGUUUUUAUGUGGAACUGGAGGACAGCUAAAGAGCAGAGCCUCUGUGAAAACAGUACACUCUGCGAUGCUCUCAGCUGCACUGCAGUGAACAUGACCAGCACCUUGUGUGAGUUCCCACUUUGAGGCUGCUGAUCCCUCGGAGUCUGCAAGGGACUUCAUCAGGUCAACUGGCCAAUGAAUGUCUACUUUAAUAGUUAUAGAUGAGAAGGCUCCUAGGAUGAAGGAAUAUGGAAGAGGCUCUUUGUGCCCAAAUAUUGUAUAAUCAUAGAAAUGAUGCAAAAUGCCCAUGCUAGAAAUAGAUUCUAUAGGAGAAAAAAAAAAGGUUCUGGGGUUUUUGAAAUCAAUCUAAUCACAACAGAGUAUGGAAAUUUUGUAACAUAUCCUGUUUUCUAACUAAGUGACUAUUUGAUUACAUUAUACAAAAAAGUUGUAAAAAAUGCUACCCUAUAAAUUUCUAUAAAUCCUUAAAGCAGGGGAAGAGUGCUAGAAAAAUCUACCUCUAGGAGAGCCUUCAUAUAACUUUGCAGCCAGACAUGUCUUUCCUGCAUACAUUUGUAUUUUUCUCCUCUAUCAAAUCUGUGUUACAAAUCAUAUCAAGUAGACAUUUGGGGAAAGAUGAAUUCCAAUGACAAAAAAGGCAAAUUUUUCUGUUUUAGGAAAUGAUUGUUUAUUUCCCAAAUGGAUGACAGUGAAUGUCAUCAAGAACAGCAUUCGGUUACCUCACUCAGAAUGAUGCCCUCCAGGUCCAUUCAUUUGCCUAGGAAUUUCAUAAAUUCAUUCUUUUUAAUAGCUGAGUAGUACUCCAUUAUGUAAAUGUACCACAUUUUCUGUAUCCAUUCCUCUGUUGAGGGGCAUCUGGGUUCUUUCCAACUUCUGGCUAUUAUAAAUAAGGCUGCUAUGAACAGAGUAGAGCAUGUGUCCUUCUUACUGGUUAGAACAUCUUCUGGAUAUAUGCCCAGGAGAAGUAUUACGGGAUCCUCCGGUAGUACUAUGUCCAAUUUUCUGAGGAACCGCCAGACUGAUUUCCAGAGUGGUUGUACAAGCUUGCAAUUCUACCAACAAUGGAGGAGUGUUCCUCUUUCUCCACAUCCUUGCCAGCAUCUGCUGUCACCUGAAUUUUUGAUCUUAGCCAUUCUGACUGGUGUGAGGUGGAAUCUCAGGGUUGUUUUGAUUUGCAUUUCCCUGAUGAUUAAGGAUGUUGAACAUUUUUUCAGGUGCUUCUCAGCCAUUCAGUAUUCCUCAGGUGAGAAUUCUUUGUUUAGCUCUGAGCCCCAUUUUUUAAUGGGGUUAUUUGAUUUUCUGGAGUCCACCUUCCCAAUCACAAGAGAACUCACAUGAUAUGUACUCACUGAUAAGUGGAUAUUAGCCCAGAAACUUAGAAUACCCAAGAUACAAGAUACAAUUUGCAAAACACAUGAAACUCAAGAAGAACGAAGACAAAAGUGUGGACACUUUGCUCCUUCUUAGAAUUGGGAACAAAACACCCAUGGAAGGAGUUACAGAGACAAAGAUUGGAGCUGAGCCAAAAGGAUGGACCAUCUAGAGACUGCCAUACCCGGGGAUCCAUCCCAUAAUCAGCCCCCAAAAGCUGACACCAUUGCAUACACUAGCAAGAUUUUGCUGAAAGGACCUUGAUAUAGCUGUCUCUUGUGAGACUAUGCCGGGGCCUGGCAAACACAGAAGUGGAUGUUCACAGUCAGCUAUUGGAUGGAUCACAGGGCCCCCAAUGGAGGAGCUAGAGAAAGUACCCAAGGAGCUAAAGGGAUCUGCAACCCUAUAGGUGGAGCAACAAUAUGAACUAACCAGUACUCCCCAGAGCUCAUCUCUCUAGCUGCAUAUGUAUCAGAAGAUGAACUAGUUGGCCAUCAGUGAAAAGAGACGCCCAUUGGUUGUGCAAACCUUAUAUGCCUCAGUACAGGGGAACGCCAGGGCCAAGAAGUGGGAGUGGGGGGGGUUUGGGUGACUUAUGGGGUAGCAUUGGAAAUGUAAAUGAAGAAAAUGCCUAAUUAAUAAAAAACAAAAACCAAAAAGGAACAGCAUUGGAUUUCAGGGAUGGAGAAGAUGGACUCUCCAUUAAACCUGAACUGUGGGAAGCCACAUGUGCCGUUGCAGAGUGGCACUGACUACUGCUGGCCACCACGCAUAAGUUUGGACAAACAACCAAUGUGUACAUAUGCAGUAAAGUUUUUUGCAAAGACACUGCCUGGCCUGGACAUGAUAAUGAGGUUCUGUAAGGUACUGAGAGUAUAACCAAUCAGAUGUGAGACAUGCAAAUGAGGUAUGAUAAUGAGGUUCUGUAAGGUACUGAGAGUAUGACCAAUCAGAUGUGAGACAUGCAAAUGAGGUAUGAUAAUGAGGUUCUGUGAGGUACUGAGAGUAGCCAAUCAGAUGAGGAACAUGCAAAUGAGGCGUAGUGCAUAACCAAUCCGGGUGUAAGACACGCCUCUCCUAGGCCUAUAAAAGCAGCACCAGUUCUGGGCUCGGGGUCUCUUCGCCUCUACAAUCAAGCUCUCCCAAUAAAUGUGUGCAGAAGGAUCCUGUUGCAGCGUUGUUCUUCCUGGCCAGUCGAGCGUGCGCAAGACUGAACCAUCUAAGAAACUUAGUAACCCAAAGGCUAACUCUAUCCUGGACACUUUAUCUGUGGUGUAUUUUGUUUUGUUUUUAUCUCUAGUGAAUGCUUCUCUGCUUGUUGUUUUUACAAAUGCUUCUCUGUGCAUCUUAAUAGACACUGACAAGUUAAUGCUUUGUUAUGAGAUUUAGUUGGAAACCCUUACUGCACAGUGUUGAACAGGGUCUUAGAAAUGGACUUGCUCUGGGGGAAAAGAAAUGAACACACAAAUAAUGUCAGUGAACAUUGUGGCAUAUUAGGAAAGUUCCUGAGGUUCUAGUCACACUGAUGAAUGGUAGUAUAUGCAUCAAGGUUGCAUAAGCAAGGGAUUGGCUAAAAGAAAUCUCCAGUGUAAUUUUGGUCCAUCAGAAAAUUAUUCCUUCUAUAUUGGGCAAAAACGCAGAGACAGACUUAUAUUACACAGCUAUAUGUUCUUCUGGCAAGCUAGAGUGCAAAAUAAAAGUUGCCAAUACCUUCAAAUAAACAAACAAUAACAAAAACAACCAAAUCACAAUCAAUUACUUUGAGGAAGUUUACAUAACAUCUAUUAUUACAUAUUAUUCUUGUUAACAUCAAUUCCAUUAAAAGGAUAAAAAUUAAUUUUAAGAUAUUUUAUUCAAUUUCUUUUUUUAAAAAUAACAAUGUCAUUUUUUAUUGCAAAGGGAGUGUCUAGAAAUUUUUAUGGUAGCUGUCUCUUGUGAGGCUAUGCCGGUGCCUGGCAAACACAGAAGUGGAUGCUCACAGUCAGCUAUUGGAUGGAACACAGGGCCCCCAAUGGAGGAGCUAGAGAAAGUACCCUAGGAGCUGGGGGGGAUCUGCAACCCUGUAGGUGGAACAACAUUAUGAACUAACCAGUACCCUGGAGCUCUUGACUCUAGCUGCAUAUGUAUCAAAAGAUGGUCUAGUCGGCCAUCACUGGAAAGAGAGGCCCAUUGGACACGCAAACUUUAAUGCCCCAGUACAGGGGAACACCAGGGCCAAGAAGUGGGAGUGGGUGGGUAGGGGAGCAGGGAGGGGGGGAAAUGGGGGUCUUUCAGGAUAGCAUUGGAAAUGUAAAUGAAGAAAAUACCUAAUAAAAAAUUGGAAAAAAAAGAAAUUUAAAUGGAAUGACUGAAGAUGACAAACAACUGUUAAACUACAACAAUUCCCAAUCAGAAUGUAGAGUAAAUCAAUGAGGUUUUUCUGAUAUCAUAUUAUGUUGUAAAGCUUUAUUAAUCAAAAGGAGGAUGCUACUGACAUAAAGAUAUACAAGUAUCUUAGUAGAAACAAACAGAAGUCCUUGAAAACGAGCAUGUAUGUAGAGAGGACUAUAGUUUGAAACCUCCAAGUAUAACACUGUGUUAGAAAAAGAUAAUAUUUCAGUGAAUACUGUUAAAAAUAUUAUGUUACAAUGUAUGCAAAAAUAAAUGAAAUUUAAAAACUUAAAUGUCAGACAUUAAACCUAGAUCCUCUAAUAAAAGCAAAUAAGAAAGUCACCUGACAAUGCUUAUGAUAAUGUUUUUAAAAUUUUUCACAUUAAAAGUAAAAGUAAACAAAUGAGAUGAUAUAAACGUAAAACUAUUCAGCAAACAAAUAAUAAAGAUAGUUAAACUGUGGGUUUAGAAGAAAUAUUUACAAGUCAUGAUUCUGGUAAAAGAUUAGUAUCUGUAUACUCUACAAAAUAUUCAUAUAGCUGAAUGUCAAAUAUAAUUACUAGUAACGGUAACCAUUAUUUAUUUUUACUCUAGAGUGAUCUUUUUUCUUUUCUUUUUUUACUAGAUAUUUUCUUUAUUUACAUUUCAAAUGUUAUCCGCUUUCCUAGUUUCCCCUUAUUCAAUUUCUUAAGAUGGAGACAUCAUGUUUUUCUUAUAAUACAGGACAGAAAACCAGUUAAUGGGAUAGUUCCUCACAAGAAAAACUACUGAUAAUUAUUCCAAUUGUUAACUUGACCCAAUCUUGAAAAAAGGCACAGUGAGGGAUUUCUACAUUGAAUUAGCUCAUGAGUAGAUCUGUGUGGGAUUGUUUUACAUUGAUUUAUGUGGGGAGACCAGCUCACUUUGCUUAGCACCAUUUCCUAAACAAGGGAUCCUGGACGGUAUAAGAAUGCAGAAGUUCAUCUGAGCACAACAAGCAUUCACCUCUCGUUCUUGCCUGUGUUGUUAUUUGACAACUCCACUAAGUUUCUACCUUGUCUUCUGUGCAAUAGUAGACUGUAACCUGGAGUUAUAAACUUAAUAAACCCUUUCUUUACAAAAAAAGAAAAAAAAACCUGCUGGGUACUGAGUGACCUAGAA